UCUAUUUGUCUAGAUAUUAUUGUUGGCUCUAGUUGAAUAUUGAUAUGAUUAUGUGAAUAGUUGUAUGUGAUUAUACUUGUGUUGUGGAUUAGUAUGGAUUUUACAGAUUAUGCAUCCUCCUUCUUUCUCUGAUUCCGAGGACGAAAUCCCUAUAAGGAGGGUAGAUUGUAAUGACUCGGAUUUUUAAAAAUAUUUUUAUUAGUAUUAUAAGUGGUUUUCUUAAUAAGUAAGGAAUAAGAUUUAAUAUUUUAUUCCAGUUUAAGGAGUUUUCAAAAUUUUAUAUUAAACUCCGGGUUAUUGUGUUAUUGAUAAAUGAUUAUAUUUUAAAACUGAUUUUCAUAUAUUGUUUUGAAAAUUCUAGAUGAUUAUUAUGUGAAUAUAUGUGUGAUGUGAGUAAGUGGUAUUGGUGGAUUUGUUGGUUAAUUAAUUAUGGUUAAUUAUGAGUAUUAUAUGAUUAAUAUAUGAAUUUUUGUGAACUUUAUAUUAUCUGGGUUAUUGCGUUAACUGCUCAUAUGUGUUCGUAUUUGAGAGAUUUCAAUUUCUAUAUGCUCAGGAGAAAAUAUAGUUUAUUUGGUUAUGUUCAUAUCGAUUUAUGGAAUGUUAGAUGAUUUUAUAAUCGAUUUACGGAUUUAAUUGCGUAUAUUUAUAUUUAUUUAUUAAUUAUUUGACUUCCGUAAAACCGUCCACUCGUAACGGUUUAGCGAUUUUUCUUCCCGGAAGUUUCAACAAAACUCACCUUUAGCCUAAUUUCAAUAUUCCGGACAUUUUUCGUGUUUUGACUUUUUCGAUCCGGAGUACGGUUUUCCCCGUAGUCGGUCCGGCGGAGUUUUUCGGGUAUUUUAAUUGUUGAUAAUUAUCUGGUUGUCUCGAUAAACGUGAAACUAGAUAUUUUGAUUCAUCCUUAUCUUGUAAUAAUUGCAGUGGGACCCGCAUACUAAUGACUGAUUAAAAAGCCCCGUUUUGAUGAUUAUCUUGAAAACCAGUACCGAUUGGACCCUGCUUUAUUAAUAUAAAGCUACUAAAUACGUAUUUUCAUGUCAUAAACGAUCCAAAGGGGUACCAAUUAUUUGUAAAUAUAAAUAGACCCUUCUAGAGCUUAUUUUCACCCGUAAAAUCAUUUCACCAGUUUCUCUGCACGAAUACCGAGAGAAACCGAGCGGUGUUCUUCGUGUUCUUCAUAAUCAAACGAGGAUUUGGAGGUGUUAUUGGAAUCCGAUGGAGGUGUAUGAAUAGUCAAAACGAAGCUAUCGACGCGUAGAAUCAUGUUUAAUCACCCGUUUGUAUGCAGAUUUAUCAGGAUUUGGACGAGACGUGUACGCUCGAAGACGUCAGGAAGUCGAAAUGGUAUUGCAAAGCGAAUAAGGGAUGAACCGAGGAAGCGAAGAUGUACGGUAGAUAGAGUAUAGCCAGAGAUGGUCUAGAGACUAUGAUAUGCAUAGAUUGUGAAAGUGGAAAGAUGAGAUUGAGAUGUGAGACUGGAGUCAGAUUUAAGGCAAGUAUCCUGCACCCUGCUUUUGGAUAUAUUGCAAAUAUUCUGAUUCAUUCUUUUGAUGUGUUGCAAGUAUCCUAAACCCUUCUUUUGGAUAUAUUGCAUGUUCUGAUCCAUUCCUUUGGUAUAUGUUUCAAGUAUUCAUACCUUUCUUUUCAAUGUUCGAAAAUGCGAGUAUUCUGAACCAUUCUUUCUAAUCUUCAAGUUUCUAAAGAAUUUCCGUUUUACAAAUUAAUUCGAAGUUCAGAUUGUCAUUGAAGCAUGUGUUGCUCAGUGAUAGUUAGAGCUUUGAAUGAAUUGGGAUCUUCUUGAUUAUUCAACCCGCCAUUGUCAUGCUGGUUUAGCAGGCUAAAUUCAGUUGCUUAGCCGAUAAUGGAGGAUACUGAAUAGUUGAGGAUUUCCUGAACUGUGAUUUAUGAAAUGAUGGAUCAUGAUUUAUGAAUAGAUUAUUAUCAAAGUUUGAAUUGGAAUUAUUCUGUUGUUGAUGAUAUUUAUGAUGAUGUUCUGUUAAUUUACAUUGGCUUCUUGAAUUGAAUUAGAGAAUUGGAUUAUUGUUUUUAUAUAAACCUGUGGACCAGAUUCGUGGUCAUGUUAGGCCAAUGAGUGCCUUGGAUCCAGUGAUAGAGCAUGGCGGGGCCUGCUCGGGGUUAGAAAGGAUUAAAGAUGAAUGGCUAGUCUAUGAUUGCGAGUAAAGUUAAGGCUAGGCGAGGAGUCAGAGGUGUUAAGGAUCCAGUGGUCGAGAAGUGUCCAGGAAGAUUGAUAAGGUUGAUGCUAGCUCGAGUUGUGCUAUUGAGAUUCAGAUGUAAGUCAUAGCUGGAAUAGUUGACAGUGAUUCCUCUUAUCGAAGAUGAUCUGAUUUGGUAAGAGAUGUUGUGUAAUAAUAGUGGUUGAUUCUAAUUUCAAUACUGUAACCUGGAAGCGAUCCUGUUGUUUUGGGGGUGAAGAUGUUCUCUUUCAAAUCUUUCAUUUAACGUCUUUCAGAUCUUUUAUUAUGGCUUUCAAGUUUGAAUUUCAAGUUUUAAAUCCUUUGACUUUUAUUUUCAUUAAAAAAAAAAAAAUAAAAAAAAUUCAGGAUUUCAAAAGUGUUUAAAAAUGGGUUUUAUGUGGUGACGUCAGAAUCCAGACCCCCGGAUUCUCGGACUGUCACAGUUGGUAUCAGAGCAACAGGUUAUAAGUAUUUGAAAUUAGAAUAUAGAUCAUAGUUAUAGGUUUUCUAGAGAAGAAUGUGGUGUAACCUCACAUAGAGGUAUGGUCGGACUAUUUAGGAAUAGUCUAGAGAUGUGAGUGAAGCAUAGAGUUUAGUUAGAUGAUCAAGUUAAGUGUGGAUAUUUAAAGAGAUUAGGAUUCUUAAGUUUAGACGUAUGAUUUCUAGGAUGUUGAUUAAUUGAGAUGGUGAAUUGUGGAAAAGGUCAGUAUUAGACCUAGAUAGAAGAGUUUGAUAGUGAAUGAUUGAAUUGAGAAUGGUGAAAAUGCAGAGUUCAGAGUAUUCUGACUAUACUGCACAUUUGAAAUUGGAUUAUUGUAUUGAUUUGAGAAUGAUAUAAAUGCAUGGUUCAUAGUAUGUUGACCAUGUCAGAUAUUUGGAAGAUGUAUAUUGUUUUGAGUGAAGAUAUGAAGAGUAAGUGUAGAGUAUGAGUUGUAUUGGAUUAGAAGAAGAGAUUUGUAGAUAGAGGUUGAUAGAUGAGAAGUGCAUGAUAGAGAGUAAGUGAAGUUGAGUCAGGUUAUUAGAAGCGAUAUUUGCGAGUAAGUUAGAAUUGUUAAUUCUCGACGACUACGCUUUAAGUUAAGCGGGACAAGGUGGGCCCAUAACCCACAGGUUGACGAGUCAGAGAAUAGAAGAUACGCUACGUGUUUGUGCUAUGGAUUUCAAAGGCAACUGGGAUAAAGUAGAAGAAUGUGAACUACUUGGGCCAGACUUAUUACGAACUAUAACGUCUACGAUGACAUCUUAUGAGGCUAUUACGAGUCAAAUCGAUUGAUCAUCAAGAACGUUGAAAAGAAGACAUAUAUCGUACAAUGAUUUAUUGAAGUAGAGUCGGAAUCUGAGAAGACCUUGGCAAUACCUCUCUUCAACUAAAGAUUCUUUUGAUUGUUUUCUCAUCAGUGAGAUAUUAUCAUGAUAUCUUUUCUACAAAAGUUUUGAUAAAUGAGAUCUUUAAUUUCUCAAAUUCUAAGAUGACAUUGAUAUUGAUUCUUGGUAUGAGUUGGAAAGCAAAGAUGUGUGAUAAAGGCAUGUUUAUGAAGAGACAGUGGAAUUCCUUGAUAUUAUUUGAUAUUCUUUGAUAUCCCUUAAUAUUCGUUGAUAUUCUUUGACACUCUUUGAUAUUCUUUGAUAUCUUUUCGAUAUUCCUUAAUAUAUUCCUCGAUAAUCCUUAACAUUCCUUGAUGCUCAUUGAGAUUUCUUGGAUUCUUUCCAUCUGAUUGGGAUGAACAACCCUAUGUAUAGGGGACACAAGGUAUACCUGUCUGUGUGAUAGGAGUUGGAUGGGACGCCAUCACUUGUGUGUGUUGUGAUUACAAGAAGGUUAACAACCUUUAGUAGUGUCUAAUAUGGACACGCAACAUUAAGUUCAAUUGAUCAUAUUGAUCUCCCAGUCACUCUUGUAUUCCAAUGUGACCUAUUUUGAAAAUAUCUUGUUCCUCCGAAAUUUCCAAAAGAUUGAUUCUUGGGAAAUGAAGUUUGCAAUUGUGAAGGCUUUGAUUCUCCUAUUUAUUUAACUUUGAAGGUAUGCCAAGGUUGAUUAAGGGCGGAUGAGCAUGUGAUAUUAUGAAGCGUGUACAAUGAUUUUACAAAUGAUACGUUUUAGUUUUCUUCGCGGAUUCCGAGGGCGGAAUCCUUAUAAGGGGGGUAGAAUGUAAUAUCCCAUAUUUUUAAAUUUAGAUUUGAUUAUUAUAAAUCUAUUUGUCUAGAUAUUAUUGUUGGCUCUAGUUGAAUAUUGAUAUGAUUAUGUGAAUAGUUGUAUGUGAUUAUACUUGUGUUGUGGAUUAGUAUGGAUUUUACAGAUUAUGCAUCCUCCUUCUUUCUCUGAUUCCGAGGACGAAAUCCCUAUAAGGAGGGUAGAUUGUAAUGACUCGGAUUUUUAAAAAUAUUUUUAUUAGUAUUAUAAGUGGUUUUCUUAAUAAGUAAGGAAUAAGAUUUAAUAUUUUAUUCCAGUUUAAGGAGUUUUCAAAAUUUUAUAUUAAACUCCGGGUUAUUGUGUUAUUGAUAAAUGAUUAUAUUUUAAAACUGAUUUUCAUAUAUUGUUUUGAAAAUUCUAGAUGAUUAUUAUGUGAAUAUAUGUGUGAUGUGAGUAAGUGGUAUUGGUGGAUUUGUUGGUUAAUUAAUUAUGGUUAAUUAUGAGUAUUAUAUGAUUAAUAUAUGAAUUUUUGUGAACUUUAUAUUAUCUGGGUUAUUGCGUUAACUGCUCAUAUGUGUUCGUAUUUGAGAGAUUUCAAUUUCUAUAUGCUCAGGAGAAAAUAUAGUUUAUUUGGUUAUGUUCAUAUCGAUUUAUGGAAUGUUAGAUGAUUUUAUAAUCGAUUUACGGAUUUAAUUGCGUAUAUUUAUAUUUAUUUAUUAAUUAUUUGACUUCCGUAAAACCGUCCACUCGUAACGGUUUAGCGAUUUUUCUUCCCGGAAGUUUCAACAAAACUCACCUUUAGCCUAAUUUCAAUAUUCCGGACAUUUUUCGUGUUUUGACUUUUUCGAUCCGGAGUACGGUUUUCCCCGUAGUCGGUCCGGCGGAGUUUUUCGGGUAUUUUAAUUGUUGAUAAUUAUCUGGUUGUCUCGAUAAACGUGAAACUAGAUAUUUUGAUUCAUCCUUAUCUUGUAAUAAUUGCAGUGGGACCCGCAUACUAAUGACUGAUUAAAAAGCCCCGUUUUGAUGAUUAUCUUGAAAACCAGUACCGAUUGGACCCUGCUUUAUUAAUAUAAAGCUACUAAAUACGUAUUUUCAUGUCAUAAACGAUCCAAAGGGGUACCAAUUAUUUGUAAAUAUAAAUAGACCCUUCUAGAGCUUAUUUUCACCCGUAAAAUCAUUUCACCAGUUUCUCUGCACGAAUACCGAGAGAAACCGAGCGGUGUUCUUCGUGUUCUUCAUAAUCAAACGAGGAUUUGGAGGUGUUAUUGGAAUCCGAUGGAGGUGUAUGAAUAGUCAAAACGAAGCUAUCGACGCGUAGAAUCAUGUUUAAUCACCCGUUUGUAUGCAGAUUUAUCAGAUGAUUCGGUGAAAUUUUGGUGAAGUUCUGGUCAGUGGUGGCGUUUUCCGGCGACUGGGGGCGGCGGAGGUGGUAAACUACUGUUUAGCCCCCAGAGUUUCGGAGAUGGUGAAGUGUGGGUACUGUGGUUUCAAAGUUUGCGUUUCAGCCCCUGUAACUUUUGAAAGUUACACUUUAAACCCUGGCCGAAAACUUUCAAAAGUUUACAAAAUAAACCUUUUGAUUUAAUUUUCUAAAAUUGUUUUAUUUAAUUAUUUUAAAUUUCAAAAAUAGUUUUUAAUUAUUUCUUUAUUCAAAAAUAAAUCUAAAUUAGUUUAUUAAUUAAUUUUAAUUAGUAAUUAAUUAUUUUAAUUAGUCAAUUAAUUUAAAUAUUAAUUGAUUAAUUAUUUUAAUUAAUUAUUAAUUGAUUUUAAUUGAUUAAUUAAUUGGAUUUAAUUAAUCCUUUUUGAUUUAAAAAUUCCGAAAAAUAGUUUCGAGCUUUAAAAUAUUUUUCCAAAUUAUGUUCAAGGCUCGACAAUUGUUUAUGAAUGAUUUCAAGUCCAGUUUUGAGCAUCCGGACUUGAUUAUUUAUUCAAAAAGUGAUUCUUUUAUCGAUUUUAAUUCCGAAAAAUGUUUAAAAAUUUUGGAAAAUUCCCGAAAAAUCAGUUUUAACCCAAGACUUGAUUUAAUAUCAAUUGGGAUGGGAAACCUUAUGUGUGGUGUGUUGCCUGCUAUUGGUUGGAUGUGUUAUGUGCCGAUAGGAGAGUGAGAAAACUGUUUUGAGCAUAACUUUUGAUCCGUAAGUCGGAAUCAAGUGAAACGAAAGAGAGACAGAAGCUUAUAAUGUCUAUUUUAAUAUGAUGUGACUAUAUGGCUGAGUCUAUAAGGAUUUGGACGAGACGUGUACGCUCGAAGACGUCAGGAAGUCGAAAUGGUAUUGCAAAGCGAAUAAGGGAUGAACCGAGGAAGCGAAGAUGUACGGUAGAUAGAGUAUAGCCAGAGAUGGUCUAGAGACUAUGAUAUGCAUAGAUUGUGAAAGUGGAAAGAUGAGAUUGAGAUGUGAGACUGGAGUCAGAUUUAAGGCAAGUAUCCUGCACCCUGCUUUUGGAUAUAUUGCAAAUAUUCUGAUUCAUUCUUUUGAUGUGUUGCAAGUAUCCUAAACCCUUCUUUUGGAUAUAUUGCAUGUUCUGAUCCAUUCCUUUGGUAUAUGUUUCAAGUAUUCAUACCUUUCUUUUCAAUGUUCGAAAAUGCGAGUAUUCUGAACCAUUCUUUCUAAUCUUCAAGUUUCUAAAGAAUUUCCGUUUUACAAAUUAAUUCGAAGUUCAGAUUGUCAUUGAAGCAUGUGUUGCUCAGUGAUAGUUAGAGCUUUGAAUGAAUUGGGAUCUUCUUGAUUAUUCAACCCGCCAUUGUCAUGCUGGUUUAGCAGGCUAAAUUCAGUUGCUUAGCCGAUAAUGGAGGAUACUGAAUAGUUGAGGAUUUCCUGAACUGUGAUUUAUGAAAUGAUGGAUCAUGAUUUAUGAAUAGAUUAUUAUCAAAGUUUGAAUUGGAAUUAUUCUGUUGUUGAUGAUAUUUAUGAUGAUGUUCUGUUAAUUUACAUUGGCUUCUUGAAUUGAAUUAGAGAAUUGGAUUAUUGUUUUUAUAUAAACCUGUGGACCAGAUUCGUGGUCAUGUUAGGCCAAUGAGUGCCUUGGAUCCAGUGAUAGAGCAUGGCGGGGCCUGCUCGGGGUUAGGUAUGACUGAUCAGCAUCCUAACCUUGGUUUUUAAUUAAAAUGUGAUAGUCCAAUUCAAUAAUUCUCUUGUGAAGGAUUGAAUUCCUCAGAUUUCUAUUGCUGCAAGGUAUUGUGAUUCUUUUAUACAAUACCUGAAUAUGUGAACUCAGGUUGAAUCUUUUUAUAUCUUGAACUCGAGAAUUUCUGCUAUAUCACUCAGAAUUUUCAUUGUUACUAUUACUUGCUGAGCAUUGUUGCUCACUCUUGCUAUUCUC